rnacentral:rRNA from 1 species
AGUGAACGCUGGCGGUAGGCCUAACACAUGCAAGUCGAACGGCAGCACAGUAAGAGCUUGCUCUUACGGGUGGCGAGUGGCGGACGGGUGAGGAAUACAUCGGAAUCUACUUUUUCGUGGGGGAUAACGUAGGGAAACUUACGCUAAUACCGCAUACGACCUACGGGUGAAAGCAGGGGAUCUUUGGACCUUGCGCGAUUGUAUGAGCCGAUGUCGGAUUAUCUAAUUGGCGGGGUAAAGGCCCACCAUGUCGACGAUCCGUAGCUGGUGUGAGAGGAUGAUCAGCCACACUGGAACUGAGACACGGUCCAGACUCCUACGGGAGGCACCAGUGGGCAAUAUUGGACAAUGGGCGAAAGCCUGAUCCAGCCAUACCGCGUGGGUGAAGAAGGCCUUCGGGUUGUAAAACUCUUUUGUUGGGAAAGAAAAGCAGCAGGUUAAUAUCCCGCUGUUCUGACGGUUCCUAAAGAAUAAGCACCGGCUAACUUCGUG